GAAAGAGGGGGACCCGCAAGGGCCUCUCGCGAGCGGAGCGGCCGAUGACUGAUUAGCCGGUUGGUGAGGUAACGGCUCACCAAAGCAACGAUCAGUAGCUGGUCUGAGAGGACGACCAGCCACACUGGGACUGAGACACGGUCCAGACUCCUACGGGAGGCAGCAGUGGGGAAUUUUGGACAAUGGGCGCAAGCCUGAUCCAGCUAUUCCGCGUGUGGGAUGAAGGCCCUCGGGUUGUAAACCACUUUUGUAGAGAACGAAAAGACACCUUUUAAUAAAGGGUGUUGCUGACGGUACUCUAAGAAUAAGCACCGGCUAACUACGUGCCAGCAGCCGCGGUAAUACGUAGGGUGCGAGCGUUAAUCGGAAUUACUGGGCGUAAAGGGUGCGCAGGCGGUUGAGUAAGACAGAUGUGAAAUCCCCGAGCUUAACUCGGGAAUGGCAUAUGUGACUGCUCGACUAGAGUGUGUCAGAGGGAGGUGGAAUUCCACGUGUAGCAGUGAAAUGCGUAGAUAUGUGGAAGAACACCGAUGGCGAAGGCAGCCUCCUGGGACAUAACUGACGCUCAGGCACGAAAGCGUGGGGAGCAAACAGGAUUAGAUACCCUGGUAGUCC
rnacentral:rRNA from 1 species